CUGUAAAGUAUGUUAUUCACUUUAAUAGUAUAAACCUCAUUCAGGUAGUAUUAAGCAACAACAAUACAAUGCCAACAUAUAAACAGCAUUUAAUAAAAUGCAUAAGCUAAGUCAUGCACUGCAAUACUCUAUAUACAAAAAAACAACAAUGCAGGUCUCUUCGUGACGAAGACAAUGAUUAGAUAUAAAAUUCAGAUAAAAAAAAAACAAACAAAAAAACAUGCCCUUUGCUAAAACAUCAUCACACAAAAAAAGGCUGGUAAAAGGAAGGAAGGCUUAAAAUGGACAUGACUUAAAUCAUAUGUUAAAAUAGAGUAGACGUUACUCCCUACUUAAUGCAAAAUACACAGCGCCUGUCCAUUUACAAGAAAAAAAAAGGUAAAAGAUUUACGGUAAGUUUUCAAAGUAAUACAACAACAUGUUAACAUGUUUACAUUUUUUAAUCUGUGCUGUACUGCACCAUUCAUUGGAAAACAGACACCUAUUCACCACACUUCCAUUACAGUGUAGUUUACAGUUGUACAUAGUUUUAUUAAUACAUUUGGUAGGUAACUGUGGAAAGUAUUGUGGAUGUAUUAGCAUAUGUAUAGUGCAGAAGGACAGACGUUAAUAAGAUACUGAAAAAGAUGAUUACAAACUAUCAUGAGUGGUACAAAUCAUGUAUAUAAGCAUUAGCGGCGUCCCCAGGUAAUUAUUACUCCAUCUCAUGUGUGCACUAUACACAGGUCUAUAUACCAUAAUGCACAUAGAUCUUCUGUUAGUAUACUGCACUGCAGAUAUAUUUUCUGCUAUAUACUGUACUGCCAAAACACCAUUCGCUAUACAUCAUAAUGAAGAUACAUGGUAUUUAAAUGAACAGAAUGGACCACACCAUGUAUUGAAAAAAUAAAAAAAAUCCAAUUUUUUUUUAACUAGAAAGUGGUGGUGCAAGUGACAAUAUGUGUGUAUAUAUAUCUAUAUAUAUAUAUAU